GAUGAACGCUGGCGGCGUGCCUAAUACAUGCAAGUCGAGCGAACAGACGAGGAGCUUGCUCCUUCGACGUUAGCGGCGGACGGGUGAGUAACACGUAGGUAACCUACCUAUAAGACUGGGAUAACUUCGGGAAACCGGAGCUAAUACCGGAUAAUAUUUCGAACCGCAUGGUUCGAUAGUGAAAGAUGGCUUUGCUAUCACUUAUAGAUGGACCUGCGCCGUAUUAGCUAGUUGGUAAGGUAACGGCUUACCAAGGCAACGAUACGUAGCCGACCUGAGAGGGUGAUCGGCCACACUGGAACUGAGACACGGUCCAGACUCCUACGGGAGGCAGCAGUAGGGAAUCUUCCGCAAUGGGCGAAAGCCUGACGGAGCAACGCCGCGUGAGUGAUGAAGGUCUUCGGAUCGUAAAACUCUGUUAUUAGGGAAGAACAAACGUGUAGUAACUGUGCACGUCUUGACGGUACCUAAUCAGAAAGCCACGGCUAACUACGUG
rnacentral:rRNA from 1 species